GAUGACGACGUAAGUCCAAAGAUUUAUCGCCGAGGGAUGAGCCCGCGUAGGAUUAGCUAGUUGGUGUGGUAAAGGCGCACCAAGGCGACGAUCCUUAGCUGGUCUGAGAGGAUGAUCAGCCACACUGGGACUGAGACACGGCCCAGACUCCUACGGGAGGCAGCAGUGGGGAAUAUUGGACAAUGGGCGAAAGCCUGAUCCAGCAAUGCCGCGUGAGUGAUGAAGGCCUUAGGGUUGUAAAGCUCUUUUACCCGGGAUGAUAAUGACAGUACCGGGAGAAUAAGCUCCGGCUAACUCCGUGCCAGCAGCCGCGGUAAUACGGAGGGAGCUAGCGUUGUUCGGAAUUACUGGGCGUAAAGCGCACGUAGGCGGCUUUGUAAGUUAGAGGUGAAAGCCUGGAGCUCAACUCCAGAAUUGCCUUUAAGACUGCAUCGCUCGAAUCCAGGAGAGGUGAGUGGAAUUCCGAGUGUAGAGGUG
rnacentral:rRNA from 1 species